UUCUAAAUAGUAUAAUUUAUUACCUCUGAGUUCGAAUCAGAAGAAGCUUCGGUUUUAGAAU
rnacentral:tRNA from 1 species